rnacentral:tRNA from 1 species
AAAAAGAUAAGCUAAAUAAGCUUUUAGGUUCAUACCCUAAAUAUAAAGGUUAUAAUCCUUUUCCUUUUA